rnacentral:rRNA from 1 species
GACGAACGCUGGCGGCGUGCUUAACACAUGCAAGUCGAACGGAAAGGCCCUGCUUUUGUGGGGUGCUCGAGUGGCGAACGGGUGAGUAACACGUGAGUAACCUGCCCUUGACUUUGGGAUAACUUCAGGAAACUGGGGCUAAUACCGGAUAGGAGCUCCUGCUGCAUGGUGGGGGUUGGAAAGUUUCGGCGGUUGGGGAUGGACUCGCGGCUUAUCAGCUUGUUGGUGGGGUAGUGGCUUACCAAGGCUUUGACGGGUAGCCGGCCUGGGCGGGUGACCGGCCACAUUGGGACUGAGAUACGGCCCAGACGCCUACGGGAGGCAGCAGUGGGGAAUAUUGCACAAUGGGCGGAAGCCUGAUGCAGCAACGCCGCGUGCGGGAUGACGGCCUUCGGGUUGUAAACCGCUUUCGCCUGUGACGAAGCGUGAGUGACGGUAAUGGGUAAAGAAGCACCGGCUAACUACGUG